CUGUGCGUGACCUUGGAAAUCAAGUGUAGGUGGAGCCUGUGGCAGCGAUCAAGGCGACCCACACUUGGUUUCAAGGGUCCGCAGGG
rnacentral:pre_miRNA from 1 species